rnacentral:rRNA from 1 species
UGGCGACCGGCGCACGGUGAGUAACACGUAUCCAACCUGCCGAUAACUCGGGGAUAGCCUUUCGAAAGAAAGAUUAAUACCCGAUGGUAUAAUCAGACCGCAUGGUUUGAUUAUUAAAGAAUUUCGGUUAUCGAUGGGGAUGCGUUCCAUUAGGCAGUUGGUGAGGUAACGGCUCACCAAACCUUCGAUGGAUAGGGGUUCUGAGAGGAAGGUCCCCCACAUUGGAACUGAGACACGGUCCAA